AUUGAACGCUGGCGGCAUGCUUUACACAUGCAAGUCGAACGGUAACAGGCCGCAAGGUGCUGACGAGUGGCGAACGGGUGAGUAAUGCAUCGGAACGUGCCCAGUCGUGGGGGAUAACGCAGCGAAAGCUGCGCUAAUACCGCAUACGAUCUAUGGAUGAAAGCGGGGGACCGUAAGGCCUCGCGCGAUUGGAGCGGCCGAUGUCAGAUUAGGUAGUUGGUGAGGUAAAGGCUCACCAAGCCAACGAUCUGUAGCUGGUCUGAGAGGACGACCAGCCACACUGGGACUGAGACACGGCCCAGACUCCUACGGGAGGCAGCAGUGGGGAAUUUUGGACAAGGGGCGCAAGCCUGAUCCAGCAAUGCCGCGUGCAGGAAGAAGGCCUUCGGGUUGUAAACUGCUUUUGUACGGAACGAAACGGCUCUCACUAAUACUGGGGGCUAAUGACGGUACCGUAAGAAUAAGCACCGGCUAACUACGUGCCAGCCGCCGCAGUAAGAC
rnacentral:rRNA from 1 species